GACCGCUCCGGUGGCCUAUUGGUUAGAGUGUCCGCCUCGGAUGCGGUGGGUCGUGAGUUCAAACCCCGACCGAGUCA